rnacentral:rRNA from 1 species
AUUGAACGCUGGCGGCAGGCUUAACACAUGCAAGUCGCGCGAGCGGCGGACGGGUGAGUAAUGUCUGGGAAACUGCCUGAUGUAGGGGGAUAACUACUGGAAACGGUAGCUAAUACCGCAUACCAUCAGAUGUGCCCAGAUGGUAUUAGCUAGUAGGUGGGGUAAUGGCUCACCUAGGCGACGCUCCCUAGCUGGUCUGAGAGGAUGACAAGCGACACUGGAAUUGAGACACGGUCCAGACUCCUACGGGAGGCAACAGUGGGGAAUAUUGCACAAUGGGCGCAAGCCUGAUGCAGGCAUGCCGCGUGUGUGAAGAAGGCCUUCGGAUUGUAAAGCACUUUCAGCGAGGAGGCGUUACUCGCAGAAGAAGCACCGGCUAACUCCGUGCAAGCCGCCGCGGUAAUUC